CUUCACGGUUAGAUUCUGCUCACUUCUUCCCUUAAGCUUCCUUUCUUUUCUUCGAUCCUACAAAACAUCAAUUGUAAUCUUAUCACAUUAUGUAUUAAGAAUCUAGAAUAGAAGCUUAAAAGAGUUAGUUAAUGGAUUUUACCUAUAUUAGAGCCAUACGUUUCGACUCUCCCAUCUCUUAGAUCUCUUAGGUAAAUGGGGCAGCUUCGUCUCCAAUGCCCUUUCUCUUGGCAAUAAAAGCAAAUUGACUCUUUUGGAACAUGACAUGGAACUACUUCAGACAUUGCCUUUCUCUUAUGAUCAAACUUUUCGAUCAUAACAUGUCUUUCGUUGCCAUUGUCUAUAUCCAUAGAGGUCUUGAAGGCAGAUUCACCAAUCAACUUUGCUUUUCUAUUGUGCCAAACCAUUGCUGAUUCAGCAGCAACAAGCAUAUAGGUGAGAUCUAUAAGGUUCACGUCGUAGUUCAUCAUAUAGUACUCUCUUACGAACUCACUAUAUUAGUUAGGAAGUGACUGAAGAACCCAAUCAACAGCCAUUUCCUCACAGACAACGGAUCCCAAUAUUCUUAACCUAUCAAUGUGUGACUUCAUCCCUAGGACGUGUACACACCGACUUUCCUUCUUUAUGUUUACUUGCCAAAAGGGCUUGAGUGAUCUUGAACUUUUCAAGCCUUUGAACUUGUGGGUUAGGGAGAAUAAUUUGAGGAGGAGGAGGAGGAAGUGAAGCAUGAUCUCUUGUUCCUCGAUCGAAUCGUGGAAUAUCAUCUUCAUGUGGAAGGUUGUGACAACCCAAGUUGUGCCGUUACAUUUCCCCGUUACCGUUAACGGAAUAUUCCACUGUAUAAAAGUUCCGUUAAUUAGAGGGCGUCAAUUUAAUAAACAUUCCAUUUGUUUACAUUUAACAUGCCGUUAAGUCGUGAUAAAAAGAAAUAAAAAGACAUAACACUCAUUUCCAUUUAUUUGGAAAAUGAUAAGUUUUAUUGUUACGACCACUAAAUCGGGUGUGACCAAAAGCCCCGUUUAAUGGCAGUAUUGGGUAAAAUUCCACUGAGCCCCGACUCGGAACCCUAUAUAAGGGUGAGUGGAGUCCAUUGGAGACUUUUUACACUCUCUCUCUAGACCCGUUUUCGCCCCGAAUCCGCAACCAAACGCUUCCAAAUUGUAAGUCCGCUUACCCUAGCUUGUUCUAAACAUUACUAGUUGUAGUUAUACCCCAAAAAUUGUCCAAGAAGGGAAGGAGUAAGGAGUUUACGGCCCAAGAACACUCUAGGGCCGUAAACCCCUAAAAUGAUGCCAAACUUGCCUUUAAACUCACCCUUAAGCUUGGAAACUAAUUGGGGAUCUAGCCUAGGAGUGUGUAAACAUCAAAACACAAUGAUUUAGGGCAUAAAAGAGAGUUUACAGCCCAAGCACAUGCUUAGGCCGUAAACCCCUCUAAACCAUGUCAAAAUGCCCCAAAAACACCCCCAAACCACCCUAGGGCUUCAUUCAUAAUUAAGGGACUUAGUAUUUGGGGUUUGGACCAAUUAAACACAACAAAAUGAAGGGUUAAAAGGAGUUUACGGCCCAGGCAUGUACCAGGGCCGUAAACACCCUUAAAUAUCCCCAAAACAUUAAUUUUGUCCCCCAAAUGGCCUUAGACUAUUACCAAAAUGCUUAGGAAAUUACCCACUACCAUUUAAGCCCUUAAGACACCAAAAGAAAUAGGGUAUAGGAGCUUACGGCCGUAAGCUCCCUUGCUUAUGGCCGUAAACUCCUCAAAGGGGCCAUUUCAUGCUUAAACUCAUUCACACUUUAUGGUUUUGGACUUAGGAUAAUUCCAUGAGCAAGUAAAAGCCUUAAAACACCCAAGGAAUAUGUCCCUAGGAGUUUACGGUCAUAAACUCCCUUGAUUAGGGACGUAAACCCCAAGUUGGUCCAUAUAGGUGCUUUAAAUCCAUUCACACACUUGAUAUUUGAGUUUAGCAAAAUUCCACAAUUGAUAUGAGACACUUUAGCACCCUAGAACACCCUCACCAUGAGUUUACGGCCGUAAACUCAUGGUGAGUAGUCCCUGGGCCAUAAACAUGAUGUUAAGGGUUUACUCUUGGAGAGUAAACUCCAUUCCCUAGCCAUACACACCCUUAGACGCCACCCGGGACACCCAAACACUUAUCUAAAGUGUUUUCCGCUCCUUUGAGUGCGUAUAUUUGUUUAAUUAGUAUUAAAUAUAAUAAUUGUAUGUGAACAUAUGUUAUCAUAUGUUAAAUAGGUCAUUGUGUGUGUUCGAGUCCUUGUGUGACACCGAACACCCAAACGGCACCUUCGUCGGACCUACUUACACCAGGUGAGUUCAUACCCCUGAAUGAACAUUUUAAAUGUUUUAUAGGGGGGAAUACAAGUUAAACAUGCCAGUUAUCACAUCAAUCACAUAUGAUUGAUAACCCGCAUGCACAAGAUUUUACCACUGUACACUGUGUUUUACCGAGUAGGNACCACUGUACACUGUUUUACCGAGUAGGACACUAUAAUGGUUUUCAAUUGUAUCAAAACACUUACUUAUACUGUUUUAUCUAAAUUCAUUCUAAACUGGUUUAUGAAAGAUUUCCUAAGGUUUUCAAACAUAUUUUACAAAAGAAUACAAAUUGUGAUUUUCUCCGGAUAUAAAGGUUUUUCAUCAAAGUUUCCCUUUUUUAAUGUAUACUUUCACUUGUUAAAUACUGCUGCUUUGCUUAUACUUAUUUUAUACUCCUACUCUGUAACGCUUUCACUUAUACUUGAAGUCACUUAUACAUGAUGGACGCUUAUACUUAUUCACACUCUUACUUAGUGAUACGAUUCUACUUCGCUUAUACUUGAUAUCGACUCUACUUCACUUAUACUCGAUACGCUCAUACUUCACUUAUUGUCGUCUCUACUUCGUGAUACGCUUAUACUUGUUCGACACUCUUACUUCACUUGCGAUCACUCCUACUUCACUUGUUAGACACUCCUACUUCACAAAGAUCACUCCUACUUGAUACACACUCAGUCGUAGUUAGAUGUAUGUCUGUGCUUGUAUAGAUGCAUAUAAAUAAUGAUUGAAGGACUUAGGAAGGCUUGUCCGCCCUAUUUCCUUUUCUUCGUUGAGAUGUGGUCUGGUGGGAUCGGAUGUCCAUCCGAAGGUCGUUUGAUUCAUUACUUAUAUAUUAUGUACACAAGCAUAGACAUACGGGUUUACUUCAGUCAAUUCAGUUAAGAGUCUCUACCUCUAGUUCAGCACUUACAUUAGAAACCCACUAGUUGGAAGUCUCUACCCACUAUUUGGGAUGCAUCUUCAGGACACGGCCUUCUCCGUCGUCUAGUUGGUAACCAGAGUCUCCUGUAGGGAGAGCGGACAUUGUGUGUAUAGAUCUAUACGGGAUUGACAACCCCGCACCCAGACUGCUAGCUACAGUCCCGGCCUACCAAGCCAACGGGUGACAAAUGUCACAUUUUAGACGCUUGUAGGGCGUCUGGUACUCUAGUCAGUAUGGUUACGAGUAUCCCGGGUUACCUUAUAAUUCAUUGGCCUUAAGGUAACGGUAUUUCGCCAGCAAUUUACACUGUAUGCUGGUAAUUCAUUUUCAGAGUCACACUGUUUUGACCUUACAAGACGUAUCUUUCAUUUGAUACUGUCUGGGGUCUGUAUUUACUGUAUUCACUGUAUUCACUGUAUCCACUGUAUCCACUGUAUUCACUGUAUCCACUGUAUUCACUGUUUUAGACCUUGCUAGACAUAUCUUUCAUUUGAUAUUGUCUGCGGUCUGUAUUCACUGUUUUGGACCUUACCAGCUGUACCUUUCAUUUGGUACCUUCUGGGGUCUGUGUCUCUAUUUGUUAGACUGAACCAGGCGUGUCGUUCGUUCGAUACUCUCCUGGAGUCUAUGAUUCCUUUGCCUUAGCCAGCAGUCCUCACUGCUGAGGCAUAUGUUAUUUCCCUGUUGUCUCUUGCUUCCAUUAAUAAUCAAAUUCAGUAUUUUGAUAAUGAUAGCAAUUAAAUGAAAACCCCCUUUUUACCAAAUAACACUGACCAGUCUUGGUAGAAGGCUGCUUUGAUUAAAGAAAAUAUAGGAUUUUCUGGAAAGAACUCUAAUACACUGUAAACACUUAAACUAUUACUUUAUUAAGUUAUUUGAAUGAAAUGUCACUAAAUACUUAUGAACUCACCAGCAUUUGUAAAAAUGCUGAUACUCGCUUUUCAAAUAACUUGUAUUCUCAGGUUAGCAUUAGACAGGUACAUCCCCGGAGCUGUUGAUGAAGAUAGCUUAGUACCGCGCUGUAUUUAUUCUAUUACUUGUAUUACUUUGAUGUAUUAAUGUAACCAUGUAAAACUAUUACUAUUAAUGCAAUGUUUUGUUGUACUUUGAUUACUAUAAUGCAUGUGUUGUGAUACUUGACAUGACGUCAUCCACCCCAGAACGUUUCCGCCGUUCCGGUUUUGGGGUGUGACAAAGGCUUGUUCCACGGGAUUUGGGAAAACCAUAGUUGUCGAACUCUGACAUCUACAAAAUGGGAGAAAACGAAUUCAAGUUAGUUGAUAGAUUGAGUCCUUAGUAAAUCACCCAAAUGAGAUACUAAGGCUAGGACCCAACACAAUAUUCUACAACUGGGGAGAGGGAUGCCGUAACCCUAAUUGCAGAAUAUUUGAAGGUAAGUGAAUAACGAUUCACUAAUUUCCACCAUGAAAAACGAAAAAAGAAAUUUAAGUUUUAAAUCUAUGAAAACUCCUAGAUCCUUUGAGAUACAUUGAACUUUCAAUGGCAUGUUUAUAUCUCGAUAUGCCCCUCUUGUUUGUGACUGGGAUGCCGAGGAUCACAAAGCGGGUGUGAAUAACCAUGCAAACUAAAUGGUGCCCUCACAUGUUACAGUCACCUAUUCGAUGUGCCGGUAAACCACACACGCUCCACCGAACUAUGACAAACAUUGAGUCACCCUUUGCUACCUUUGCUUAGAACCAUUUAGUGUGCCGGUAAACCACACACGCUCCACUAACGUCUUC
rnacentral:lncRNA from 1 species